rnacentral:rRNA from 1 species
AUUGAACGCUGGCGGCAUGCUUUACACAUGCAAGUCGAACGGUAACAGGCCUUCGGGUGCUGACGAGUGGCGGACGGGUGCGUAAUGCAUCGGAACGUGCCCCGAGGUGGUGGAUAACGCAGCGCAAGCUGUGCUAAUACCGCAUGUGAUCUGAGGUUGAAAGCGGGGGACCAGGCUGCAAUGUUUGGCCUCGCGCCUUUGGAGCGGCCGAUGUCAGAUUAGGUAGUUGGUGGGGUAAAGGCCUACCAAGCCGACGAUCUGUAGCUGGUCUGAGAGGACGACCAGCCACACUGGGACUGAGACACGGCCCAGACUCCUACGGGAGGCAGCAGUGGGGAAUUUUGGACAAUGGGCGCAAGCCUGAUCCAGCAAUGCCGCGUGAGGGAAGAAGGCCUUCGGGUUGUAAACCGCUUUUGUAAGGAACGAAAAGGCUCUGGCUAAUACCUGGGGCUGAUGACGGUACCGUAAGAAUAAGCACCGGCUAACUACGUG